GGAACGUACCCAAGAGUGGGGGAUAACGUANCGAAAGUUACGCUAAUACCGCAUACGAUCUAAGGAUGAAAGCAGGGGACCGUAAGGCCUUGCGCUCCUGGAGCGNCCGAUACCUGAUUNNCUNNUUGGUAGGGUAAAAGCCUACCAAGGCAUCGAUCUGUANCUGGUCUGAGAGGACGACCAGCCACACUGGGACUGAGACACGGCCCACACUCCUACGGGAGGCAGCAGUGGGGAAUUUUGNANNAUGGGGGCAGCCCUGAUCCANCAAUGCCGCGUGANUGAAGAAGGCCUUCGGGUUGUANAGCUCUUUUGUCAGGGAAGAAACGGUUUGUUCUAAUAAAGCANACUAAUGACGGUACCUGAAGAAUAAGCACCGGCUAACUACGUGCCAGCAGCCGCGGNAAUACGUAGGGUGCNAGCGUUAAUCGGAAUUACUGNGCGUAAAGCGUGCGCANGCGGUUNU
rnacentral:rRNA from 1 species